rnacentral:rRNA from 1 species
UACGUAGGGUGCAAGCGUUAAUCGGAAUUACUGGGCGUAAAGCGUGCGCAGGCGGUUCGCUAAGACAGAUGUGAAAUCCCCGGGCUUAACCUGGGAACUGCAUUUGUGACUGGCGGGCUAGAGUAUGGCAGAGGGGGGUAGAAUUCCACGUGUAGCAGUGAAAUGCGUAGAGAUGUGGAGGAAUACCGAUGGCGAAGGCAGCCCCCUGGGCCAAUACUGACG